UUUAAGACGGUUAAACUGGUUUAUACAGGGGUAAUUUGAGCAUACAAAUUAGAGGGGAGGACUAAGAAGGGCUGGAAUUUUUACAAGAAAUUUGUGAAGAUUCUUUGGUGGCACUAACUUUCUCAUUUUUUCUUUUGAUUUGCUGUUCCUGAUUUGGCUUAUGAAAAUAUCAGCAAUAUGUUUAGGUUAAAUUUAGUAGUCUGCAAGGUAGAGUAAGGUCGGCAUACAUGCUACCUUCCGGGAUCCCACUUCUGGGACUACACUAACUACAAUAUAGUUAGUGUAGAGCUACCUUCCGGGAUCCCACUUCUGGGACUACACUAACUAUAUUGUUGUUGUUGUUGUUGUUGUUGUUGUUGUUGUUGUUGUUGUUGUUAUUGUUGUUGUUAUUGUUAUUAUUAUUGUUAU
rnacentral:lncRNA from 1 species